UGGGGAAUAUUGCACAAUGGGCGCAAGCCUGAUGCAGCCAUGCCGCGUGUGUGAAGAAGGCCUUCGGGUUGUAAAGCACUUUCAGCGAGGAGGAAGGGUUCAGUGUUAAUAGCACUGUUCAUUGACGUUACUCGCAGAAGAAGCACCGGCUAACUCCGUGCCAGCAGCCGCGGUAAUACGGAGGGUGCAAGCGUUAAUCGGAAUUACUGGGCGUAAAGCGCACGCAGGCGGUUUGUUAAGUCAGAUGUGAAAUCCCCGCGCUUAACGUGAGACUUGCAAUUGGAACUG
rnacentral:rRNA from 1 species